AUUAUUUUGACGCAGCUGGUUCGCCAAAUGCCCAAAUCAGAGGAACAAUAAACACACCCUCCCAAAGAAGUAUAUUCAACAACUGCUCUUUCAUCAGCUCACCAAACCAGAAAAAUCCACUCUUCAAUUUCUAUGUUUCUCCAUUCAUAGCAACAAACCAAGCACCAUUUCACUGCAAUUCUGAUUCUGGAUUUGGUGAGGAAAAGGAAGUGAAUUUGGAUGGUAUUGAUGAUAGAGGCAUGAUUAUGAAUUGAAGUGUGUUGUGGAGAAGAAAUGAGUGUGAGCCAUGCUUCGAUUCACCCAAUUGAUGAAGUUCCAACUACUGAAGGCGGCGGCGAUGAUCAAAACAAAAACAACAACAACAACAACAACAACAAUAACAAUAAUAACAACAUUAACCCUCCUCCAAGGGUGAGGAUGAAGGAUAUUCAAGGCAUGCCAGGCACAUCCGGUGGCCUAUGUCUGCGGGUGUCUCAGUUUAUUUUCUCUGCGGCUGCGCUUGCCAUCAUGGCGUCUACUAGUGAUUUCCCUUCUGUAACUGCCUUCUGUUACCUUGUUGCGGCUGCCAGCUUGCAGUGCUUGUGGAGCCUUUCAUUGACUAUUAUCAACCUAUACGCCCUUUUAGUAAGGAGGUCUUUGCAGAACAACCAAGUUGUCAGUUAAUUUACCAUUGGCGAUGGGAUCCCCAGAGAACCCGUUGUGGUUCAAAAGUCAAUAAACAAUGGAAUGAAGCACAGCACAGCACAUCUCGAGAUAAGAGUGACGGAAAAGUAACUAAUAAGUAAGCAUUUGUGUUCUGUUCGAGUGCAAUUUUUGUGUAUGAAUUAAAUAUUAUUUUUAUUUGUUUCAACAUGUAUUUUCUCCCUUGUACGUUUCUUCUUGUUGGGGGAGUAAGAGUAUUUUUACUCUUCACUCUUACUGAUAUAGCCUGAUGUAUAGUUAGUUAAGUUAAUAUCCUUAUUAAGGACUCAGUUGUAUUUUCUCUAUGCUGACCAGAACUAGUUAGUUACAUUGUUAGUAGUAGAAGUAGCUGUUAGACCUUUACUAUAUAUAUAGUCUAACUGUAUAGUGCAAAGGGGUGUAGAAGUAGCUGUUAGGCCUUUACUAUAGAUAUAGUCUAACUGUAUAGUGCAAAAGUGGUGAUUCACCAUUAUAACAAAAUCACUUCAUCAAACUCACAUGCUUCUCUCACUCAAUUUCUCUCUCACCUCUAUGGGAGCACACAGAAAUUCACCUCUCCAUGUUCAUUUCAUCACUUCUUAUGUAGUGUAAUUGUAAUUGUCAACUAGACAUUUGACACUUCUUUUUGAAAUACAAAACAAAAAUGAAUGAGCAGAUUAUCCCCUCCCAGUUUGAAGCUCAUGCCGGUUGGGCAUCACGUAGGAAACCGUGAGUUUUUGUUGUUCAAACUCUAUUAUUGGAUUAAGUUAUUAUCUCCAUGCAUCUGGCUUUACAGUACAAGGCUUGUCGGUAUUCAUUGCCUCUUUUCAUUUGAAAACUUCUCUCUCGCCCCUCUUCUUUUUUCGCCAUUUGUUCUCCUUCAACUUUCUAGCCUCAAAUCUGAAUGUGUUUGGACCCUCAAAUUUAGUGUGGUGUAUUGAGAAAACUGACUAGUGUUUGCUUCCCUGUUCUAACUUUAGAAUAACCGCAUCAACAACAUCCAUCACCAUCUAUCAUAUUAGAUUUCAAUAAACACCAUAGGCAAAACAUUCAUGUUUUGGAUACAAAAUAACUAGUUUAUAAUAACGACGGCAUAACCUUGCCUAUAUCUACCAACCUCUAGGAAAUAAAAAAACCUGCAAUCUUGGUAAGCUCCCAACUAGUAUUUGCUUUGGAAUUGUAACUGUAACCUUUCAAAAUCAGCAGAUAAACCUGUAAAAACGGAGAGCUACCAUGAAUAUUUUCAUUACAGAACAAUCACAACUCACAAGGACCACAACUAUGUAAAUGCAAACACAUGCAAGAAACAGAUAGAGUAAGCAUAAACUAGAAAGUCCAACCCAAUGAAAACAACUCAGCCGAAGCUGCUGAAAAUUUCAGAAAUUGAUAAAAACAAACUGAGAUCUACUAAACUAAUUUAGUGACUAACCUUAGAGUGAGCAUUCCUUAGGCUUAAAGGAAACUCCUCUGACGAUGUCGUAUCCGACUUCAUAAUUGGUCAUCUGGAAAGCCCCAAAGACUGAUGUGCCAUCUUGUUCGGUUUGCUCUAUGAAUGCUAGGCAUAUCACAGUCUGCCCCACGUGAAAAACUUGAUCUGCUCCUAGAACCACAAUGACAUUAGGAUUAAACCGAAAUUUGACAAUAGGAAGUUGACUUAUUUCAUCUCUAGGCUUCUUGUAGCACCGAGAUCCUGUACCCGGACUUAUGGUAAAGCCCAGCGUCAUCAUCUGAUGACGCACUUCUUCUACUAGGAGAUGAAAGACCGGUGAUAUCAAACGUGUGAACCAUGUGCCGCUGUCUAAAAAUGUCGUUAGCCAUAUUUAGUCGAGUAUUUCCCACAGUAAUGCUCCUAACACCAAUGUAAUAAAAUGGGUAUCGUUGUGAUACCAAGGUAAAUGGUGUGAUGGAGCCCUCCUCUAUAAUCGCGUGGGAACCGAAUCUCAAGGCACCCGUCUUCCCUGGCUGAGGAAUACAGUGUGAGAAUCUCUGUAUGCCUAGUUGUUGGAUCAAGGAGAGGGGUCCUCGACCCAACCCAAUGAUUCCUUUGGUCUGAUCGUCGCCUACAGCGAGAUAGUUGCAACCAAAGGUGAUUUCUCCUAGAUCCAGGAGAGGACCCCGUAGUGUUCUGAGCAGAAUCUUGUCGCGGACAAGAAAGCCUUCCGUAUGUAAGCCUCCUCUAUACUCUUCUCGAAACCUGCAAUAGACUCUUGCCAGAGUGCAUAAUCUCCGAUGAGUUCCCAGGCUGUUACACCGUGGGUCAUGGCAGAAAAGACUUUCUGACUUCUUGCACGUUAAGCGCCCUUGAGGGGAUUUAUUGAGACUCCACAGAAUCUCACUUCCGGUGUCCACCACAAGUUCCACCUCUGCAUGUUCAUCACCAUUUCCUACGAUGAAUCUUGCAAUGGCAUCAACAUUACUUGCCACUUCAGUUGUAGCAGCUACUGGGUGAUUUAUUGGUCUUGGCUGGUUCAUGAAUUGUGAUACUAAUGCCGAACGAUUGUUCGAGCACGUAUCACAUGUUCUUGUGAUGGGCAUUGAGAAGCCAUCUCUUGUGGUGGUGGUGAUGGUAAUUGUAAGAUGAAUGGAAACGGAAAUGGAGGCAAUUACGGAAGACACUAUGAACAAUGUUAAUCUCCGAGAAAGAGAAUUCUUCUUGGGUGGAGAAGAAUCCAUUAAUGGAAGAAGGUGGGAGGGAAUAGAGGUGAGGUGAGGUUAUCUGUCACUCUCUGCGACUCUGGAUUACCCUUCUUCUCUUGCUCUCACCAAAGUAACGUGCUCUUCUCCUCUCCUGUACGAUUGUUGUGUUACGUCUACUCUCUUCUCCUUCUCCGUCUGUUUUGUAUUAGUUCGUUGUUGGCAUCAGAUUUUUGGGAAUAGGCUUUCAGCUAAAGUGGGGAAUCAAUGACAUACUUAAAAUGCCAAAGUGUUAUAUUCAUCAAAUGAAGAGCUCCGAAACUCAUCCCCUGACUUUUGGUGUGCCGUUCUCUCUUCUAGAAAAGAGAUUCUGACACUGGAGAACCACCCCAAAAUAUUCGAGCCUGGCUCAAAUUUGUCACUGCUUGUUGUCUAAUACGGAGUAAACGACCAGCAUUUUCUGUUGUAGAAGCUGAAGAACUCAUUGAAAGCAUUAUAUGUCUAUUCCUAGAUCGCCAGUUUCAAGGUUUAUUAGUGCUUUUGAAUGAUUGCAUUCAAGGCAUUGUUAAUUACUUCAUAGAACAGGAAUGGCAUUCAAGUUAUGAGAGCAUAGCAAAAUUCGUUGCUUCCAGGUUGUUAUUAUUUUUGGUGUCAGUAAUAGUAAUUCAGUGAUGCUACAAACUUCUUUGGCACCACAAAACUUCCUUAUAUAGAUAGAUAGCAUCAACCUUGUGCUACUUCAUGAAUCAAAAUACAUAGUUAUUCAUCACUUGUUCAAUUUUUGAGAGAGGAAUUAAUACAGAGUAGCUCAGCUAGAAAGCCUUGGAGUUGGGGAGGCUUUGAAGGACCAAGGAGUGUGCAGGUGGAACUAUGUUCUCAGAAAUGUUCAACAACAUGUGAAGAGCCAUGUUAGAUCGUUUUCACAGUUUCCUUCUUCCUCUGCUAUGGUCUCCAUUACAGUACUCAAGAGGUCCCAAAAAGCUAAGCAGUCAGAGGAAUCAUUAAGAGAAGUCAUGUACUUAUCUUGUUGGGGUCCUAUCUAAAUGUUGGUAAUGAGAUCCAUUUAGGACAAUAGAGAAACAAAUUUUCAUCUUUGAUGCUACUAGCUAGGCCAUGAUUCCAUGUAGUCUUGUAUAGGUGGGGUCAUAUAAAACAAUUAUUUCAUCUUGUUGUAUGCAUAACAUCCUCGUAUGGUACAAGAUGAAUACAGGAGUUGUUUGGUUAUAAUGAUUCUUCUUCAAUAUAGAAUGCUUACUUUUUUGUUAA